rnacentral:rRNA from 1 species
UCCUGUACUACCGAUAACCGUUUGAGAGAAGGGAUGACACAGUAGGAUAAGCUAAGCACACUGUUGGUUAUGUGUGCCCAAGCAUUGAGGCAGUCAAAGUAGGCAAAUCCGCUUUGAUAAUGCUGGGAUGUGAUGGGGAGCGAAAUUUAGUAGCGAAGUAGCUGAUUUCACACUGUCAAGAAAAGUCUCUAUCGAGGUUAAAGGUACCCGUACCGCAAACCGACACAGGUGGGUGAGGAGAGUAUCCUAAGGCCAGCGAGAGAACUGUUGUUAAGGAACUCGGCAAAAUGACCCCGUAACUUAGGGAUAAGGGGUGCCACCAUCAGGUGGCCGCAGAGAAUAGGCCCAAGCGACUGU